UUUUUAUGUACUAAAUCUGGCAACCCUACAUGGGUAUCUUUUUGACAGUGAGGACGCUCUACCAGAAGAUGGGUGCUCCUGUGUCAUUGAUCACAACUGAGACCCAUGCCCAUGCUGGCUCCAAACUUCAGCAAGGGAAGCGGAGCCUGCAUAGAUGACUUGGAUCACUAGGGAUCAUCCCUUUGGGCCUCCUGGAGAACAUGGACAUGAGACCAUCAUGACUGCAAAGCACUGUUCUCUUCCUUAUAUCCUACUACUGAGCCCGGAGAAUGAGAGUUCCAUCACCCAUGCCUGAACCUUCGGGAUGGAAAAUACUCUGGAUUUUAUAACCAAACCAUGAGGAUGUUAGCAGAGAAGAGGGAGUCCUGAAAUGCCAGUUAACCCAGCAGAAGUUGAUGAGCUCACUUACAGCCAGGGACAUGGUUUCCCAGGUAUACAGUUCCACUGUAAAUGAGGUGGUGGGUUUCUUCACCUCUGCCGAUCCACUGAGUAAGUAUGCAUAUAGAGGU
rnacentral:lncRNA from 10 species